AAGCGACUAAGGGCGCAUGGUGGAUGCCUAGGCGCCAGGUGCCGAAGAAGGACGUGGUAGGCUGCGAAAAGCCAGGAGGAGCGGCCAACACGCGUUAAUACUCCUGGAUUUCCGAAUGGGGAAACCCGCUCAGGCGAACCCUGAGCACCGCACGCUGAACACAUAGGCGUGACGGGGGGCACCCGGGGAACUGAAACAUCUUAGUACCCGGAGGAAAAGAGAAGAUUCCCCUAGUAGUGGCGAGCGAACGGGGAAGAGCCUAAACCGAUGCCGUGGAAAAGGCCGUAGCCGUUGCGGUAUCGGGGUUGUAGGACAGGCGUGGGGUGGGCUACGGACCACCCAGGGAGUUACAAAACCGGCGCAUAGCCGAACGUGCCUGGAACGGCAGGCCAGAGAGGGUGAAAGCCCCGUAGGCGAAAUGUGACCGGACUCCUGGGCGCCUGCUCCUGAGUACCACGGGGCACGGGAAAUCCCGUGGGAAGCGACCCAGACCACUGGGUAAGGCUAAAUACGCCUGGCGACCGAUAGUGGAGAAGUACCGCGAGGGAAAGGUGAAAAGCACCCCGGAGAGGGGAGUGAAAUAGGACCUGAAACCAUGCGCCUACAACACCGUGGGAGCCUGCCUUCGGG
rnacentral:ncRNA from 1 species